rnacentral:rRNA from 1 species
AACGAACGCUGGCGGCAGGCUUAACACAUGCAAGUCGAGCGCCCCUCCUUCAAGCGAGCUUGAAGGAGUUCUUUCCUGUGAGAGAACUUCGAGCAAGCCAGGCUUGCUUGAUGGAGGGGAGCGGCAGACGGGUGAGUAACGCGUGGGAAUGUACCCUUUGCUACGGAAUAGCUCCGGGAAACUGGAAUUAAUACCGUAUGUGCCCUUCGGGGGAAAGAUUUAUCGGCAAAGGAUCAGCCCGCGUUGGAUUAGCUAGUUGGUGGGGUAAUGGCCUACCAAGGCGACGAUCCAUAGCUGGUCUGAGAGGAUGAUCAGCCACACUGGGACUGAGACACGGCCCAGACUCCUACGGGAGGCAGCAGUGGGGAAUAUUGGACAAUGGGCGCAAGCCUGAUCCAGCCAUGCCGCGUGAGUGAUGAAGGCCCUAGGGUUGUAAAGCUCUUUCACCGGUGAAGAUAAUGACGGUAACCGGAGAAGAAGUCCCGGCUAACUU